AGUGGCAGGCCUUCUGGAAAGGCCUAUGACCUCAGUGGAAACAUUUGAAUUAUGGCACUUUGGAUAAGGCUUGCAGGGACUGAUGGCCUUGUGAACUACCCCCUCUUCAGGCAGAAGGGUUUCAGGCCUUGUUUCCCCAGGGUCUGUGCUUGCCCCUGUCUCCCGCCUCAGCUCGUGCUAAGGCUCCUGCCUGCAAGGAGAUGCCACCCUUCAUCAGAGAAGUAAUGACAGACCCUCACUAGGCCCGCGAACACUGACAUGAAGCAACCUGAUUUAUGGUGACCGUUCUGCCCCGGAUUUCUGGCUUCCUUCCUCCCUUUAGGGCUCAGCUUGCUGCUCCUCGCCACCCGCACGUGGUAGCUUCAUGAGACAGGAACUGGCAGCGGCCACUCCUGCCRCGCUGUGAUUUUCCCCAGCAGGUGAUAUGCCCAUGUACUGGGAGGAAUCGGUACUGGGAUGGGCAGGGAAAGUGGRUGAAGCCCUUGGCCCAGGAAGAGAGAAGCUGCUGG